UGUGCGUCUCUAGCUAUGUUGAGACGCGGCAUACGGCUCACUAACGCGUGGCUAACCUGCCCUCACGACGAGGACAAACCCGGGAAACUGGGGCUAAUACUCGAUAGGUGAGGUUGCCUGGAAUGGUUUCUCACCCAAAGGGCUUGGAAACAUGCUUCCAAGUCCCCUGGGGAUGGGGUCGCGCCCGAUCAGGUUGUUGGUGAGGUAACGGCUCACCAAGCCUAUAACCGGUACGGGCCGUGAGAGCGGUAGCCCGGAGAUGGGUACUGAGACAAGGACCCAGGCCCUACGGGGCGCAGCAGUCGCGAAAACUCCGCAAUGCACGAAAGUGUGACGGGGCUACCCCGAGUGCCGUCCGCUGAGGAUGGCUUUUCUUUGGUUUAACUAGCCAGGGGAAUAAGGAGAGGGCAAGACUGGUGUCAGCCGCCGCGGUAAUACCAGCUCUCCGAGUGGUAGGGAUGAUUAUUGGGCUUAAAGCGUCCGUAGCCGGCUUAGCAAGUCUCCUGUUAAACUCAGCGACUCAAUCGUUGAAUUGCGGGAGAUACUACUGGGCUAGGAGGCGGGAGAGGUCGACGGUACUUCUGGGGUAGGGGUGAAAUCCUAUAAUCCCAGGAGGACCGCCAGUGGCGAAGGCUGUCGACUAGAACGCGCUCGACGGUGAGGGACGAAAGCUGGGGGAGCGAACCCGGAUUAGAUACCCGGGUAGUCCCAGCUGUAAAACUAUGCGGGCUAGGUGUUGGGGUGGCUACGGG
rnacentral:rRNA from 1 species